AUACGUAGGGGGCGAGCGUUGUCCGGAAUGAUUGGGCGUAAAGGGCGCGUAGGCGGCCCGGUAAGUCUGGAGUGAAAGUCCUGUUUUUAAGAUGGGAAUUGCUUUGGAUACUGUCGGGCUUGAGUGCAGGAGAGGUAAGUGGAAUUCCCAGUGUAGCGGUGAAAUGCGUAGAGAUUGGGAGGAACACCAGUGGCGAAGGCGACUUACUGGACUGUAACUGACGCUGAGGCGCGAAAGUGUGGGGAGCAAACAGGAUUAGAUACCCUGGUAGUCCACACUGUAAACGAUGAAUGCUAGGUGUAGGGGGUAUCGACCCCUUCUGUGCCGGAGUCAACACAAUAAGCAUUCCGCCUGGGGAGUACGGCCGCAAGGUUGAGACUCAAAUGAAUUGACGGGG
rnacentral:rRNA from 1 species